CGAGUAUUAGGACAUGGGCGCAAGCCUGACCCCGCCAUGCCGCGUGCAGGAUGACGGUCCUAUGGAUUGUAAACUGCUUUUGUACGGGAAGAAACACUCCUACGUGUAGGAGCUUGACGGUACGUAAAAUAAGGAUCGGCUAACUCCAAGCCGCCCCGCGGAAAUAAAAAAA
rnacentral:rRNA from 1 species